rnacentral:rRNA from 1 species
UACGUAGGGCGCAAGCGUUAUCCGGAAUUAUUGGGCGUAAAGAGCUCGUAGGCGGUUUGUCGCGUCUGCCGUGAAAGUCCGGGGCUCAACUCCGGAUCUGCGGUGGGUACGGGCAGACUAGAGUGCAGUAGGGGAGACUGGAAUUCCUGGUGUAGCGGUGAAAUGCGCAGAUAUCAGUAGGAACACCGAUGGCGAAGGCAGGUCUCUGGGCUGUAACUGACGCUGAGGAGCGAAAGCAUGGGGAGCGAACAGG